CCUCCUCUUUCCUACUUCCGAAGCGAGGCCUCAGGCCGGGGAGUCGCGUGAGGCGUCCUCCCGGGCACCAUGAAGCGGCAGCCGGGCAAGAGACCCCGCUCCGGGUCGGGAAGGACGGAGCAGCAGGCCAUGAAAGAAAGGCCUGCGGGCGACAGAAUGGCUCAUUUUUGUCCACAAUGCGGACAGAAAGCAGAGGCAGUGUUUAACUUCUGCCCUUCUUGCGGAGGCCGGUUGCCUAAACAAGAAGAGGAGCCUAUGCAAAUCACACCAUCUUCUUCACAGAAAGGACUAAGUCAGGCAAUCCAGGAUCAGCUACCUGCUGCAAAGAAAAAAGUGGAGCUGUUUUUACCAGACAAAGAAAAAGCCUCUUCUUCACCUAAAGCAGCCCUUGCACAGAAAUCAACACCUACUGUGUCUCCAAAAGCAAAAACAAAAACCAGCCUCCGUUCUCCCAAAAAGAGCCGAAGCGUGAGGCCUCUCCCCGAAGGCCAGAUCCUGACCGACCUGAAUGAUAAACACUGGGUUCUUAGAAGUCUUCUCGGCGAGGAUGACUGUGGGCUCACCUAUGAAGCAGAGUCAGCCUCUGGAGCCUGCCUUCCUAAGCAGAGAUACACCCUCAAACUUGACUGGAAAGACGGGAUGAUCUUCAAUGAACAAAACUUCCUUCAGCGAGCCGCAAAGAAAGUCACAGUAGAGAGAUGGAAGAGACAGCAUUCAGUGCCAUUGCUGGGGAUCCCGGAGUGCGUUGGUUUUGGCAUCCAUAAUGAUUGCUACAGGUUCCUGGUGUUCCCUCAUUUGGGUCGCUCGCUUCAGUCAAUCCUGGAAGAUUGUGCAAAUAAGAUGACAGAGAAAGCGGCCCUGCAACUUGCUGUCAGGCUGUUGGAUGUCCUUGAAUUCCUCCAUGAGAAUGAAUACACCCAUGGGGACAUUGCUGCUGAGAACAUCUAUGUGAAUCCAACCGAUCCUAGUGUGGUCACCCUGGCAGAUUACUGCUUUGCCUUCCGCUACAGCCCUGCCGGGAAGCAUGUGCCCGAGCGAGAGGGCAGCAAGACCCCCCACCAGGGCACCCUGGAGUUCAUCAGCCUCGACAGCCACAAAGGAGCCGCACCAUCCCGUCGGAGUGAUCUCGAGUCCUUGGGUUACUGUUUAGUCAAGUGGCUCUGUGGCUCUCUCCCGUGGUCUGUGGACCUGAAGAAUCCAUGCGCAGUCAUGGAAAAGAAGGAAAGGUAUAAAUCAGAUGUCAUCAAGCAUCCAAAGCUUUCCUAUGGCUGGAAAGCAAUUCCAGUUGUUUUUUCCAGAAGCCCUGCAAGGCUACCUGCUGCAAGUGAUGCCCUUGGAGUAUGAGGAGAAGCCCAAGUAUGGAGAGCUACGAGCCUUGCUGCGGAGUGGCCUGCUGCGCAUGAGGACGGAUGCCUAUGACACUGUGGACCUCAGGGUCGUGCCCUAGGUUUCCAGAGCUGAAUAUCACGAGUGAUAAUAACAAGCUAUGUUCCACAUUUAAGAAGCAGGGAGUGGCAUGUCUUCCUGAUGGAGCGGCUGGUAACAUAACUCCCAUUGUGUGCUUUCACACUCAACUUUUAAAUUAGAGUGAGAAGGAGAAUUUCUUGGAACAGUUUGCUGAGAUCUUUUGGUGAUCUUUUACAGCAGUUUUGGACUCCAACUCCCACAAUUCCUAACAACCUCAGGCACCUUCCUUUCCCUUCUUAAACAGAAAGGUUAAAGGAAGAGGAAGGGACCUGAAGCUUUUAGGAAUGGAAGAAGUUGGAGUCCAAAACACCUGGAGGGCCCAUGUUUGCCCAUAUCUGUUUUAUAGGCUCCAUUUCUAUUCAGUUUCAUGUCUUAAUUAAACCUAGCUUGUGUGAAGCCUAUAUCACUAUGACACCACUGGUGCACUGUUUUAAAAUCGCUUAACAGCUCCCGCUGUCUCUGUGAAUAUGCAACACUGAGCCCCAUUUGGAUGAGAGUUGUCCAUUUGCGUUGAUUCUGUUUUAUCUUAUGGAUACUGAUAACCACUUUUACGGGUCUAAAUUUCUUGCUUCUUAAUGGUGUGUUAGUGUCGUUUCAUUAUCUUGGAAGCCUGUUUCCUGUUUUAGAGAGCCAAAAGAAAGGAUUUUAAAAUUAAUAAAUGGAAAUUUGGCACAUUUUUACAACA